rnacentral:rRNA from 1 species
UGGGGAAUUUUGGACAAUGGGCGAAAGCCUGAUCCAGCAAUGCCGCGUGUGUGAAGAAGGCCUUCGGGUUGUAAAGCACUUUUGUCCGGAAAGAAAUCCUUGGCUCUAAUACAGUCGGGGGAUGACGGUACCGGAAGAAUAAGCACCGGCUAACUACGUGCCAGCAGCCGCGGUAAUACGUAGGGUGCAAGCGUUAAUCGGAAUUACUGGGCGUAAAGCGUGCGCAGGCGGUUUGCUAAGACCGAUGUGAAAUCCCCGGGCUCAACCUGGGAACUGCAUUGGUGACUGGCAGGCUAGAGUAUGGCAGAGGGGGGUAGAAUUCCACGUGUAGCAGUGAAAUGCGUAGAGAUGUGGAGGAAUACCGAUGGCGAAGGCAGCCCCCUGGGCCAAUACUGACGCUCAUGCACGAAAGCGUGGGGGAGCAAACAGGAUUAGACACCCUCGGUAGUCCACGCCCUAAACGAUGUCAACUAGUUGUUGGGGAUUCAUUUCCUUAGUAACGUAGCUAACGCGUGAAGUUGACCGCCUGGGGAGUACGGUCGCAAGAUUAAAACUUAAAGGAAUUGACGGGGUCAUAGCUGUUUCCU